UACACUAUAGGUGGAUGACUCUUUUACACUGAUAGUGAUUGUUCAUAUUUUUUUUUAUCUAUUUCCUUUUUAAACACUCAUUAAUUACCAAAUCUCCUACAUAUAUUUUUUUUCAUUUUUUUCUUUAUAUUUUCUUAAACACUCACUAAUCUGCAAAUCCCCAUCUUCAUCUCCUUCUAUAUUUUUUAAACAGUGAUUUAAUUCUCCUAGUGCUACAUCCAAUUCCUUCCCUUAUUUUGCUUUAAUAAAUUAACAAAUUUCUAGUUUGUUGAUAUUCCGCAAAUGUCAUUAUUGGAACCAAUUUAUUGAAGAAGUUCUAAAAAUAUUUUCUCUCUCUCUUUCUUUUUUAAGAUGAUUAAUCGAAUUAGAAUUAUCAUUGU
rnacentral:lncRNA from 1 species